rnacentral:rRNA from 1 species
CAACGACGAAGAACCUUACCAGGUCUUGACAUCCCGAUGCUAUUCUAGAGAUAGAAGUUACUUCGGUACAUCGGUGACAGGUGGUGCAUGGUUGUCGUCAGCUCGUGUCGUGAGAUGUUGGGUUAAGUCCCGCAACGAGCGCAACCCCUGUCUUUAAUUGCCAGCAAGUAGCGUUGGGCACUCUAGCCAGACUGCCGGUGAUAAAUCGGAGGAAGGUGGGGACGACGUCAAAUCAUCAUGCCCUUUAUGUCCUGGGCUAAACACGUACUACAAUGGCCGUUACAACGGGAAGCGAAGGAGCAAUCCGGAGCAAAUCCCUUAAAGGCGGUCCCAGUUCAGAUUGUGGGCUGAAACUCGCCCACAUGAAGGCGGAAUUGCUAGUAAUUGCAGAUCAGCAUGCUGCAGUGAAUACGUUCCCGGGCCUU